UACGUAGGGAGCAAGCGUUGUCCGGAAUCAUUGGGCGUAAAGCGCGUGUAGGCGGCCAGGUAGGUCCGAUGUGAAAUCUGGAGGCUCAACCUCCAGCUGUCAUUGGAAACCAUCUGGCUAGAGUCCGGAAGAGGAGAGUGGAAUUCCUGGUGUAGCGGUGAAAUGCGCAGAUAUCAGGAAGAACACCGAUGGCGAAGGCAGCUCUCUGGGACGGUACUGACGCUGAGACGCGAAAGCGUGGGGAGCGAACAGG
rnacentral:rRNA from 1 species